rnacentral:rRNA from 1 species
GCGACCUGUGGUAUAACUGUAGAAAAUCUAGAGCUAAUACAUGCACGAGUACAGCGCCGAUCCCCGGAGAGGCGCGCGUUUAUUAGACCAAGACCGGCGCCGGGGCCCCGUGUCCCGGCCACUCCGUGUUGACUCUGGAUAACAUUGCCGAUCGCCCGGCCUCGCUGCCGGCGACGUAUCUUUCAAAUGUCUGACCUAUCAGCUGGUUGGCCGUAGAGGUGACGGCCACGGGAUUGACGGGUAACGGGGAAUCAGGGUUUGAUUCCGGAGAGGGAGCCUGAGAAACGGCUACCACUUCUAAGGAAGGCAGCAGGCGCGCAAAUUACCCACUCUCGACUCGAGGAGGUAGUGAAGAGAAAUAACGUGACGCUAACCCCAAGAGGCUGCGUUGGGGAAUGAGACCCGUUUAAAGCCUUGUCUGAUGACCCAGUAGAGGGCAAGUCUGGUGCCAGCAGCCGCGGGUAAUGGGCCCACAUUACUUGGAAAAAAUUAGGGUGUUUCAGGCAGGCUGAAUACGGGGCUUGGAUAGUCUAACAUGGAAAUAACAGUUAAUGGAACUCCGGUUCCCUUCCUCCUGCUGGUAUACGGAACUUGCGAGCCAUGGCUAAGAGGGACAGACGGGGGAGCGGAUAAAUUUCGACGUGAGAGGUGAAAUUCCAGGACCGCCGUAAGACUAACGAACGCGAAAGCAUUCGCCCAGAAUGUUUUCAUAAAUCAAGAACGAAAGUUGGUGUAGCGAAGAGGAUCAGAUACCCUCCUAGUACUGACCGUAAACGAUGCCAACAGGAGGCCGGCGGAAGUAACUUGCAUUGUGGGACUAAGGCACCCGUCGGAACCCCGCGGGAAACCCGAGUGUCUGGGUUUCUGGGGAGAGAAUAUGGUUGCAAAGCUGAAACUUAAAGGUAUUGACGGAAGGGCACCACAAGGAGUGGAGCUUGCGGCUUAAUUUGACUCAACGCGGGGCAACUCACCCGGUCCGGACACCGCGGGGAUUGACAGAUUGAUAGCUCUUUCUUGAUUCGGUGGGUGGUGGUGCAUGGCCGUUCUUAGUACGUGGUGCAAACUGUCAGGUUAAAUCCGCUAACGUACGCGACUCUAGCCUAUUUACUAGAGCUGGACGAUGAUAAUAAGUCGCCGAUGCGAGGAACUUCUUAGGGGGAUCCAU